UACGAAGGGGGCUAGCGUUGCUCGGAAUCACUGGGCGUAAAGCGCACGUAGGCGGCUUUUUAAGUCAGGGGUGAAAUGCCAAGGCUCAACCUUGGAACUGCCUUUGAUACUGGAGACCUUGAGUCCGGGAGAGGUGAGUGGAAUUGCGAGUGUAGAGGUGAAAUUCGUAGAUAUUCGCAAGAACACCAGUGGCGAAGGCGGCUCACUGGCCCGAUACUGACGCUGAGGCACGAAAGCGUGGGGAGCAAACAGG
rnacentral:rRNA from 1 species